rnacentral:rRNA from 1 species
GGUGAACGCUGGCGGCAUGCCUUACACAUGCAAGUCGAACGGUAACGCGGGGCAACCUGGCGACGAGUGGCGAACGGGUGAGUAAUGUAUCGGAACGUGCCCAGUUGUGGGGGAUAACUGCUCGAAAGAGCAGCUAAUACCGCAUACGACCUGAGGGUGAAAGCGGGGGAUCGCAAGACCUCGCGCAAUUGGAGCGGCCGAUAUCAGAUUAGGUAGUUGGUGGGGUAAAGGCUCACCAAGCCGACGAUCCGUAGCUGGUCUGACAGGACGACCAGCCACACUGGGACUGAGACACGCCCCAGACUCCUAGAGGGGGCAGCAGUGGGGAAUGUUGGACAAUGGGCGCAAGCCUGAUCCAGCCAUGCCGCGUGCGGGAAGAAGGCCUUCGGGUUGUAAACCGCUUUUGUCAGGGAAGAAAGAGCUCCUGUUAAUACCGGGGGCUCAUGACGGUACCUGAAGAAUAAGCACCGGCUAACUACGUGCCAGCCGCCGCAGUAA